rnacentral:rRNA from 1 species
UACAGAGGUCCCAAGCGUUGUUCGGAUUCAUUGGGCGUAAAGGGUGCGUAGGCGGCGCGGUAAGUCGGGUGUGAAAUCUCGGAGCUCAACUCCGAAACUGCAUUCGAUACUGCCGUGCUUGAGGACUGGAGAGGAGACUGGAAUUUACGGUGUAGCGGUGAAAUGCGUAGAUAUCGUAAGGAAGACCAGUGGCGAAGGCGAGUCUCUGGACAGUUACUGACACUGAGGCACGAAGGCCAGGGGAGCAAACGGG